GGCUGUAAGUGGCAGAUAAUCAAAGAGGUCAGUGAAAUAUUUCCAGACAUUGGCAUUUCCAUAUUUUCUUAAGCAUUCAUCAUAAAACCCAUACACUUGAGUACGACUCUCAUGAUUUCCUCUUAGAAUUGUAAUCCUAUCUCUAUAUCGAACUUUCAGAGCUACUAAAAGAGUCACAGUUUCCACUGAGUAAUAUCCUCGAUCGACAUAGUCGCC
rnacentral:misc_RNA from 1 species